UACACACACACACAGGCACUGAUAUAGAGGCUACAGUAUAUCAGUUUAGUGCUGUGUGGGUCAGGACUGUCGUUCAGUGGGAGCAGUGAAGUGUUGUGAAGACAUCAUGUGUCGUGUGGUGGAUGAUGGAUCAUCUGCAACAGGUUGGGCCCAUACGGUCUUUGGUUUGGCCCUGGCUUGCAAUGUAACCACGCCCCCUGCUGUUUGUACGUAAAACAGCACAUGGAGCAGUGAGAGGAACAAACAGACGACUUCCCUCUUCAGACAACUUUCGACCUACAUCUGCAUCCAAUCAGCAGCCACGAGUCUCACUUAUUACACAACAUCAGGAGUCACUUCUUCUCCAUCCAACAAGUCCUGUGUAUAUUUGGCCUGAUGCACUUUAACGUCUUUAACAACGUGGAGACUUGUUGAGUAAAGGACUGCUCUCAGAAACUGAUUUCAUCUGGUGACAUAGAUGUGUGUAUCCAGUCUCUAGCACCAUAUGAAAUCAGUGUUUUGGGAGGUGGACUAUCAGCAAGUGCAGCGUCUGUACAGGAGUAAAGUCAAACACAACAUGGUCUUGUGUAGAUGCCUAAAAGUAGGUCACAUAUGUAUAAAUUAACGGAUUUUCUCCUGCUUCGUUCACUAACUGCUCACAGCUGCUAUCGUGCUUUAACCUUUUUUUUUAUCCUGCCUGUCUCUCAUUUACUCGACAUAUAUAAUUAUAAUGAUUCCACUUUUAUUCAUGAAGGAAAUCUCUUUCAAUUUAUAUCACAUUAAAUGUUAUGCACUUUCUAAACUAUUUAACUUCUCCUAAAAGUUGGCCACAACUGACCAUUAGGAGAUAAUGGCAAACAUAAGGUGCAGAGUCACUUAGACAAUAAUAUCUAAGUUAGUUCAACGUAAGCUUGACUUGGCAGCAAAACUCCUCUGUGUAUUGAAUUAAGCAACAGUGAAUUGUUUUAUUUAUGAAUUAUCCUUUCUUCAGUAAGAACAAGCUGCUUUUUCUCAAUUCACAAGUUUACUACUUUUCUUUAAAGGCUCAUUCUAGGAUUUAAUUCUGGCAGCUACCAUUGCAUGAUUUUCUUUAAUAUAAUGUUUUUUUGUUACAGCUAAAAUGUAAACAA